rnacentral:rRNA from 1 species
CCCUUAGAUGUUCUGGGCUGCACGCGCGCUACACUGAUGCACUCAACGAGUUUACGAUCUUGCCCGAUAGGGUUGGGUAAUCUUUUUAAAAUGCAUCGUGAUGGGGAUAGAUUAUUGCAAUUAUUAAUCUUCAACGAGGAAUUCCUAGUAAGCGCGAGUCAUCAGCUCGUGCUGAUUACGUCCCUGCCCUUUGUACACACCGCCCGUCGCUCCUACCGAUUGAGUGCUCAGGUGAAUAAUUCGGACUGCAGCAAUGUUUGGAUCCCGAACGUUGCAGCGGAAAGUUUAGUGAACCUUAUCACUUAGAGGAAGGAGAAGUCGUAACA